GAUGAACGCUGGCGGCGUGCCUAAUACAUGCAAGUCGAGCGAAGCGGGGACGGGUGAGUAACACGUGGAUAACCUCCUAUAAGACUGGGAUAACUUCGGGAAACCGGAGCUAAACCGGAUACUUAUCGAUGGAGCAGCGCUGCAUUAGCUAGUGGGUAAGGUAACGGCUUACCAAGGCAACGAUGCAUCGCCGACCUGAGCGGGUGAUCGGCCACACUGGAACUGAUACACGGUCCAGACUCCUACGGGAGGCAGCAGUAGGGAAUCUUACGCAAUGGGCGAAAGCCUGAUGGAGCAACGCCGCGUGAUUGAUGAAGGUCUUCGGAUUGUAAAACUCUUUUAUUAGGGAAGCGGUACCUAAUCAGAAAGCCCCGGCUAACUACGUGCCAGCAGCCGCGGUAAUUC
rnacentral:rRNA from 1 species